AUACUUGUUUGCCGGUCAUAGCAAUCGAACCACAUUCCAAGAUUGCCGACAACAUCAAGAAUGACAUUGUUGUUAGUAAUUGUCGAUGGAUAUGCAUCAGCAAUUACAUUACUGAUAAAAUUGUUGAUAAUUUCAUUCGAAUCACCUACAAAUAAUGAUUUUUAUCUGGUUCCAUAACUGAUUCUUUCUGUGAUCAUUUUUCCCUUUCUAAUAGGAGCAUCCAUAUCCAUAGCCACCUCUAAAGCCAUCAGAUUACAGUCAUUCCAGAAUUUUGGAUCUGCUGUCACUUCCAGUAAGGCUUGAAUUCUCACCAUAACCAUUUUCUUCAUCUAUUGUAACCAAAAUUCCCUGAUUUCCAAACGGUUAAUCUGAUUCAUGCCAUCGGACUUCUCCCAUAAUUCACACAUGUGCAGGCGGCAUGUCUUCAUCAUGGAUGUAAUAUUUGUAGCGUCAAAUAACGCAAUUGUAAAAGUAAUUUUUU
rnacentral:lncRNA from 1 species